ACGCACGCUGGCGGCGUGCUUAACACAUGCAAGUCGAACGGAAAGGCCCUGCUUUUGUGGGGUGCUCGAGUGGCGAACGGGUGAGUAACACGUGAGUAACCUGCCCUUGACUUUGGGAUAACUUCAGGAAACUGGGGCUAAUACCGGAUAGGAGCUCCUGCUGCAUGGUGGGGGUUGGAAAGUUUCGGCGGUUGGGGAUGGACUCGCGGCUUAUCAGCUUGUUGGUGGGGUAGUGGCUUACCAAGGCUUUGACGGGUAGCCGGCCUGAGAGGGUGACCGGCCACAUUGGGACUGAGGUACGGCCCAGACUCCUACGGGAGGCAGCAGUGGGGAAUAUUGCACAAUGGGCGGAAGCCUGAUGCAGCAACGCCGCGUGCGGGAUGACGGCCUUCGGGUUGUAAACCGCUUUCGCCUGUGACGAAGCGUGAGUGACGGUAAUGGGUAAAGAAGCACCGGCUAACUACGUG
rnacentral:rRNA from 1 species